rnacentral:rRNA from 1 species
CGAGGAGUCCAAGCGUUAUCCGGAAUCAUUGGGUUUAAAGGGUCCGUAGGCGGUUUGGUAAGUCAGUGGUGAAAGCCCAUCGCUCAACGGUGGAACGGCCAUUGAUACUGCCAGACUUGAAUUAUUAGGAAGCAACUAGAAUAUGUAGUGUAGCGGUGAAAUGCUUAGAGAUUACAUGGAAUACCAAUUGCGAAGGCAGGUUGCUACUAAUGGAUUGACGCUGAUGGACGAAAGCGUGGGUAGCGAACAGGAUUAGAUACCCUGGUAGUCCACGCCGUAAACGAUGGAUACUAGCUGUUGGGAGCGAUCUCAGUGGCUAAGCGAAAGUGAUAAGUAUCCCACCUGGGGAGUACGUUCGCAAGAAUG